GUCUUGCUCUUUACAAGAAUUAAAAUACAAGUUGAAAUCCUUCAAAAUGGCCAAUCACACCAAUCAAUCUUAUCUUCUGGGAGUUUUAUGCAUUUUUCUGAUCAUCAAUUCAGGAUUCGUUACCAGUUUGGUAGUUCCUCCGGGAGGACAAUGUACAGUACCUUGCAUUGCAAAUUGUGAUAAGGAAUGUCGCUCCAAGGGGUUUCAAAGAGGACAAUGCUAUACUCGUCUUCUGAAGACGAGUUGUUGUUGUUUUCACUAAUAAGUUCCAUUGUAUUAUUGUGGUCAAAAUAAAUAAAACUGCACUAGAACAUGACUUUGGAAGAGACAAUUUCUAAUAAUUUUGUGUAAAUCAAUAAAACUUGUGAACAUGAUUAUCAACGAGUGCAACUCAUAAUACAAUAUAGGUUGUUAUUUGAAUUCU